rnacentral:rRNA from 1 species
CGGCGAGUGAAAGGGGAGAAGCUCAGCGUGUAGCCUCGGGGAUGCCCUCCAAGUGAGUGUGUUAAUCCUACGAUGGGAUGCCACGUAUGGGAGAAUGCUAGAAGAGUCCGCGACCCGGCAAUCCGAACUGUUUGAUGAAACAUUGCCCAUAGAGGGUGUUAGGCCCGUAGGACCGUCGUUUCGUCGUGACUUUUCGCGGCAUUCUCUCGAGAGUCGGGUUGUUUGAGAAUACAGCCUUAAGAGGUGGGAAACUCCAUCUAAAGCUAAAUAUUACUGCGAGACCGAUAGCGAACAAGUACCGUGAGGGAAAGUUGAAAAGGACUCUGAAGAGAGGGUUCAAGAGAGCGUGAAACUGCCGCGGGGAUAAAGCGGAUACAUUAGCGUAGUCGAAAAGGGAGAUACAACUCGUUGGCCGUCGACCUCCCGAAUCUGAUCGUCCGUUCGGAAUUAUAUUACUUCAACGUUUUGUAGUUCCGAUCGGCGUCGGCCGGAGUUAAGAGUACGUUCACUAACGAGUCUAUUUCACACCUGAGUAGGCCGUCGCGACGGUCGCGAAAGUUGUCUAAGGCUGAGAAGGUCGCGGGAACCUUUCGUCGCGUUAUCGGAGCUUCGGCUCCUUUACCGCCGACGAUGGGGGACGCUUCUAUGGAAUUUACUGACGGACUUUUCGACCGGAGAAACGAACGUCGUCCCAGCAUACUCUUAAGUGGGUAGUUGAACGACGUGAGUGCGGCGCUUAUAGCGAACAAUUUAUCCGUCCCGUCUUGAAACACGGACCAAGGAGUCUAACAUGUACGCGAGUCAAAGGGCCUACUAAACCCCUAGGCGUAAUGAAAGUAAACUUAGGAUCGAUCCGUGCUCUGGGGGUGGCCGUUUCGGCGGACAGCCCCAGACCGGCGCAAAUCCGGGACCCGUCUUACUGCUUUUCUUCGGAGAAGUUCAUGUGGCGGGUACCUAGAGCGUACACGUUGGUACCCGAAAGAUGGUGAUCUAUGCUUGGCCGGGAUGAAG